rnacentral:rRNA from 1 species
CGUUCUGUAAGCCUGUGAAGGUGUGCUGUGAGGCAUGCUGGAGGUAUCAGAAGUGCGAAUGCUGACAUAAGUAACGAUAAAGCGGGUGAAAAGCCCGCUCGCCGGAAGACCAAGGGUUCCUGUCCAACGUUAAUCGGGGCAGGGUGAGUCGACCCCUAAGGCGAGGCCGAAAGGCGUAGUCGAUGGGAAACAGGUUAAUAUUCCUGUACUUGGUGUUACUGCGAAGGGGGGACGGAGAAGGCUAUGUUGGCCGGGCGACGGUUGUCCCGGUUUAAGCGUGUAGGCUGGUUUUCCAGGCAAAUCCGGAAAAUCAAGGCUGAGGCGUGAUGACGAGGCACUACGGUGCUGAAGCAACAAAUGCCCUGCUUCCAGGAAAAGCCUCUAAGCAUCAGGUAACAUCAAAUCGUACCCCAAACCGACACAGGUGGUCAGGUAGAGAAUACCAAGGCGCUUGAGAGAACUCGGGUGAAGGAACUAGGCAAAAUGGUGCCGUAACUUCGGGAGAAGGCA